CACGUGAGCAAUCUGCCCUUCACUUCGGGAUAACUCCGGGAAACCGGUGCUAAUACCGAAUAUGACCACUUCAGGCAUCUGAGGUGGUGGAAAGUUCCGGCGGUGAUGGAUGAGCUCGCGGCCUAUCAGCUUGUUGGUGGGGUAGUGGCCUACCAAGGCUUCGACGGGUAGCCGGCCUGAGAGGGUGACCGGCCACACUGGGACUGAGACACGGCCCAGACUCCUACGGGAGGCAGCAGUGGGGAAUAUUGGACAAUGGGCGAAAGCCUGAUCCAGCAACGCCGCGUGAGGGAUGACGGC
rnacentral:rRNA from 1 species